rnacentral:lncRNA from 1 species
GGACUUUAACUCCCUGAAUCCCGCAGAACCGCUUGUACAAAAGGUCGAUGUGUCAUUUGUCUCCAUAAAGCAUCAUUCCUUGUAUCACACCCGAAGCUCUCCAGCCCUCA